rnacentral:rRNA from 1 species
CUACGGGUUGCAGCAGUGGGGAAUAUUGCACAAUGGGCGCAAGCCUGAUGCAGCCAUGCCGCGUGUAUGAAGAAGGCCUUCGGGUUGUAAAGUACUUUCAGCGGGGAGGAAGGGAGUAAAGUUAAUACCUUUGCUCAUUGACGUUGCCCGCAGAAGAAGCACCGGCUAACUCCGUGCCAGCAGCCGCGGUAAUACGGAGGGUGCAAGCGUUAAUUGGAAUUACUGGGCGUAAAGCGCACGCAGGCGGUUUGUUAAGUCAGAUGUGAAAUCCCCGGGCUCAACCUGGGAACUGCAUCUGAUACUGGCAAGCUUGAGUCUCGUAGAGGGGGGUAGAAUUCCAGGUGUAGCGGUGAAAUGCGUAGAGAUCUGGAGGAAUACCGGUGGCGAAGGCGGCCCCCUGGACGAAGACUGACGCUCAGGUGCGAAAGCGUGGGGAGCAAACAGGAUUAGAUACCCUUGUAGUC